CAGUCGCCACGGGAAUACAGAGGGUGCAAGCGUUAAUCGGAAUUACUGGGCGUAAAGCGCGCGUAGGUGGUUCGCCAAGUUGGAUGUGAAAUCCCCGGGCUCAACCUGGGAACUGCAUCCAAAACUGGCGAGCUAGAGUAUGGUAGAGGGUGGUGGAAUUUCCUGUGUAGCGGUGAAAUGCGUAGAUAUAGGAAGGAACAUCAGUGGCGAAGGCGACCACCUGGACUGAUACUGACACUGAGGUGCGAAAGCGUGGGGAGCAAACAGGAUUAGAUACCCGUGUAGUCCCUGUCUCUUAUAC
rnacentral:rRNA from 1 species